UGACUAGACAUCAGGAUAGAUAAUAAUAAGGUAUUUGAGGUAGAUGUGUACAUGAAGGCAGGGUAAAGUGACUAGACAUCAGGAUAGAUAAUAAUAAGGUAUUUGAGGUAGAUAUGUACAUGAAGGCAGGGUAAAGUGACUAGACAUCAGGAUAGAUAAUAAUAAGGUAUUUGAGGUAGAUGUGUACAUGAAGGCAGGGUAAAGUGACUAGACAUCAGGAUAGAUAAUAAUAAGGUAUUUGAGGUAGAUAUGUACAUGAAGGCAGGGUAAAGUGACUAGACAUCAGGAUAGAUAAUAAUAAGGUAUUUGAGGUAGAUAUGUACAUGAAGGCAGGGUAAAGUGACUAGACAUCAGGAUAGAUAAUAAUAAGGUAUUAGAGGUAGAUGUGUACAUGAAGGCAGGGUAAAGUGACUAGACAUCAGGAUAGAUAAUAAUAAGGUAUUUGAGGUAGAUAUGUACAUGAAGGCAGGGUAAAGUGACGAGACAUCAGGAUAGAUAAUAAUAAGGUAUUAGAGGUAGAUGUGUACAUGAAGGCAGGGUAAAGUGACUAGACAUCAGGAUAGAUAAUAAUAAGGUAUUUGAGGUAGAUAUGUACAUGAAGGCAGGGUAAAGUGACUAGACAUCAGGAUAGAUAAUAAUAAGGUAUUUGAGGUAGAUAUGUACAUGAAGGCAGGGUAAAGUGACUAGACA